AAUUAGUGGGGGGGGGAAAAAUCUGAAUUGAACUGCCUGUGUAAAAGCACAGCCUUAGAGACUUUGUUUACCUUUUGUAGAAUAUAUUCUUUGAUCCCGUAAACAUCUGCUUCAAAACACGACAGGUGAAUACAGUCGAUCAGAAAGCAAACACAGCAACAUGACUCUGAAACAUACCAGACGGGUGGAGUAAUGAUGGGCAGCUUGUAUUUUAUUACAAAAUAGAGCAGUUAUUUGGGAGAGUAAGGAGAGCGUGUAACCAUACAUUAUUCAUACAAAGACAAAGAAUAGCAAGAGAUAAUAUACAGCUUCAAAACAAAUAUAGGAAUAUACGUAGGACAUAGCAACAGAAUCCUCCAUUUUGCUUUCAUUGCAGCCUCAUGAUUUUAAACGUGGGUAAAUGUGAAUACGUGACUGUUAGUGUUAAAGUGGAGAGAGAGAACUGUGAAUAUAGCCUCGUCAACCAGACUACUAUGACUAUACUGUAACAAAUCAAUUCUAUGUUUUUUUUUAACAUUUUCUUUUCUAGGAGAUAAAAUGUUGAAACAAUGACAGUAUUUAUUUCUGGCUCGACUGAAAUCAGAGAGGGAGCCUUUAACAACCGAUAGAAAAAAGUACAACGAUUAAAUCAACAAAGAAGCAGAGCCAGAAUAUAUGACCUUUACCUGGGUAUCUACAUUGAUUAACCAAUCAAAGGAAGGGGAAGGGCCAGAAGUCUGGCAGGCUCUCAUAACUCUGAGCUCCAGAACCAAAGUUAUUUGUGAUUACAUUACUUGAUGCUCAUUGGUCAGUCUUAGGACAUUACUGAUGCUCAUUGGUCAGUCUUAGGACAUUACUUGAUGCUCAUUGGUCAGUCUUAGGAUUCGUCCAAAAUGGCACCCUAUUCCCUUUACAGUACACUACUUCUGGUCCCUAGUGCACUAUAUAGGGAAAAGGGUGCCAUUUGGGAUGAAUGGACCCGGGUUAUUCCCUAUGGAUUAUGGUAAAAAGUAGGUCACUGUAUUGGAAAUAUGUUGCGAUUUGGGACGUAGACUGAGUUAUGACUGAGAAUUAAUAUAGACGUCACUAUUAAGAUACCUGGAAUAAGGUCUGUUCACUGGCAUAUUUCACUCACUGCUGCCCACACUAGAAAAAUGACCAAUCUCACACAGGGUAAAAAAAA